CAGCAUUGAUGUUUUUGUUUUGGACCGGUUUUUCUUCUCCAGUUGCUUAAUGCUAAUUUCGUGCACAAAUCGACGCUCAUCUAAUAACUCGAUUCUUACCUCACGCUUCCAAAGUUCUACGGAUUUGUACUGGAACUUUGUGCUAGAACCAUAAAUCGGAUGUGGAAUGCCAAGGCGUCAACAGAGCUGCGUUUAGGCAUUGAACUUACUUAGGAUAACGACUUGUUAUACCGGUACACUUCUCAGGCCUAAAAGGCAGAGACACUUUGGUUGGAUGAUAACUAGGAGGACAUAUCCACAUUACGGCUGCACAGCGUGCUAAGGAAAAUUAUCACCGCUUCAUGACCUCUCUGUUAAAUUCGCGUCGAUAUUAACUAAACCGAUCCCGUUCACUGACCGCAUGCUUGCGCUUCUUCGGAACAAACUUUUGUUGGAAUUCAAUAGCAAAACAAUGUCCCCGUUUUUACUAAGAUUUGCGAUGGGAAGAGCAACAGAACACAUCAGUAACCUCCAGGUGAUGCAAAUACUGAAGUUUGAAUAUGCUGAUCUUUGGAACAAUCCGCUUCCAGAACUGCAUCUCGCCUAAAGUAUUGUUUGUGAAAAUUGCGAUUGCAAUUGGACAAACAAAUGCAAUCGCCAGGCAGUAGGUUGAAGUUUCGCUAUUCCAGUCAAGCACAAAACGUAAUACCUAAAUAAAGCCUUGAAUGAACCAUCAGAUUCAACGUAGGCGCUAUGAAAGGAGGAAUGAGGUCCCGUCUACGUCUGUCUGCGAGACUUACUUAAGGAAGUUUAUAAGUGAUCCUCCCCUAGGUUAUCAGACAUGCCCAGCUACAAAUAAAAAUCCCGCUCGUAGCGAAGCGCCGGGUUUGGAAAACCAACGUUAAGUAUCGGCAAUGAGUUUUGGGAACAGCGAGUCACCAACGAUAAAUAGGAGCUUGAUGACAUAUGUAAAGUCGGCCGAAGCUAAGUGGGCUCACCAGUAGGCAAGGAUUUGAGAACUAAGGGAACCUAUUGAUUUACUUUAAUAGUUGGUCUGUCGUGGUUGAUGCAAAAUUGGCUAUCUGACAAGGAGUUCGUCUUCAAAGUACCCUAAUUUAACAAAAUAGAUAUACAUUAUAGAAUAAACUUCAAGGACUCUUUGUGUAUCAACAAUAAAGGAACGACACUUCCAUAUAUUCAAGACGAAAGGAAGAUACAGAUAAGCAUGCGCUACUGCUUUCUCUUAUGCUUGUUGUUCAGUAAAGCUUGACUUCCAUCGCUAGGUUCGUUAGCGUUUGGAAAUAAUAGAAGGACCACAUUCC